GACAGAGGUGCCAAGCGUUAGGCGGAAUCACUGGGCUUAAAGCGUGUGUAGGCGGAUGUCUAAGUGCCUUGUGAAAUCCCACGGCUCAACCGUGGAACUGCUUGGCAUACUGGCGGGCUUGAGUACAGACGAGGUUGGCGGAAUUGAUUGUGUAGCGGUGAAAUGCAUAGAUACAAUCAAGAACUCCGAUUGCGUAGGCAGCUAACUAGGCUGUAACUGACGCUGAGGCACGAAAGCGUGGGGAGCGAACAGG
rnacentral:rRNA from 1 species